rnacentral:misc_RNA from 1 species
CGCACAUUGCGCCCCUCGGUAUUCCGGGGGGCAUACCUGUUCGAGCGUCAUUACACCUCUCAAGCGUAGCUUGGUAUUGGGCCUUCGCUCCCUCACGGGGGCGUGCCUGAAAAGUAGUGGCGGUCCGGCGUGGCCUUGAACGUAGUAAAUUUUCUCCCGUUCUGAAGGUCCGCGUCGCGGCUGGCCAGAAUCGCCCACAUUUUCAAGAAUUGACCUCGGAUCAGGUAGGGAUACCCGCUGAACUUAA